rnacentral:lncRNA from 1 species
UGGGGCUUUGAAGGUGUUUUGGGGGGAAAAUGGGUGGAUUCUGUCAAAGCCGCAGUGUCAUUUUGGAAGGAAAGACCCUAAGUGGAAUCGAAGAAGUUUUGGGGCAAAAACAGCUUGAAUAUUGUAAAAGCGGCAGUGUGAUUUUCAGAGGAAGGUGCCAAAAAGGGUUCAAAGAGGUUUUGGGGCAAAAACACCUUGAUUCUGUCAAAGCCACAGUGUUAUUUUGGAAGGAAGGUUGCAAAAUGGAUUCGAAGAGGUUUUGGGGGAAAAAUGGCUCGAUUCUGUCAAAGCCACAAUGGGAUUUUGGAAGGAAGGUUGCAAAAUGGAUUCGAAGAAGUUUUGGGGGAAAAAUGGCUAAAUUCUGUCAAAGUCACAAUGGGAUUUUGGAAGGAAGGUGCCAAAAAGGGUUCAAAGAGGUUUUGGGGCAAAAACACCUUGAUUCUGUCAAAGCCACAGUGUUAUUUUGGAAGGAAGGUUGCAAAAUGGAUUCGAAGAGGUUUUGGGGGAAAAAUGGCUCGAUUCUGUCAAAGCCACAAUGGGAUUUUGGAAGGAAAGUCCCAAAGUGGAUUCAAAGCGGUUUUGGGGUGAAAACGGGCAGGUUCGGUCCAGGCGAUGACGUCAUUUGGGGUGAGGGUGGCGGCGUUCUGGGGGAAAAUCCGCUCGAUUUGGGUGAAAUACGCUCGAUUUGGGGGAAAUCCGCUUGACUUGGGGGAAAAUCCACUUGAUUUGGGGGAAAAUCUGCUCGAUUUGGGUGAAAUCCGCUCGGUUUUGGGGAAAAUCCACUUGAUUUGUGUGAAAUCCGCUCGAUUUGGGUGAAAUCCACUCGAUUUGGGUAAAAUCCGCUCGAUUUUGGGGAAAAUCCGCUUGAUUUGGGUGAAAUCCACUCGAUUUUGGGUGAAAUCCGCUCGAUUUCGGGGUCGUGCCGGUGAGAGGCGCCCUAUGGGAGAGACCGUAUGGAAAGGGCCCUAUAGGGGACCCUAUAGGCAGGGGGCUGGCCCCAAAUCCCUAUAGGGGACACCCCAUAGGGGCCCUAUAGGGGACACCCCAUAGGGGACACCCCAUAGGGGACACCCCAUAGGGGACACGCUAUAGGGCCCUAUAGGGGACAGCUAUAGGGGACACCCCAUAGGGGACCCUAUAGGAAGGGGGCUGUGCCCAGUUCCCCAUAGGGAAACCCUACAAGGAUCCCUAUAGGGGAUUUCCAUAGGGGACACCCUAUAGGACCCCAUAAGGGACAUCUAUAGGGGACACCCUAUAGGGGACAUCUAUAGGGGUCACCCUAUAGAACCCUUUAAGGGACAUCUAUAGGGGACAUCUAUAGGGUGCACCCUAUAGGACCACAUAAGGGACAUCUAUAGGGGACACCCUAUAGGGGACAUCUAUAGGGGCCGCCCUAUAGGACCCUAUAGGGGACAGCAAUGGGGGACACCCCAUAAGACCCUAUAAGGGGCAUCUAUAGGGGACGCCCCAUAGGACCCUAUAGGGGAUAUCUAUAGGGUACACCCCAUAGGACCCCAUAGGGGACGCCCCAUAGGACCCUAUAAGGGACAUCUAUAGGGGA